GGAGCAGUGUGCGAGUGUCCCCUCUUCAGCCUGAGAACCGGGAGAGCGGCCGUCUCUCCGCGGCUCCCACCCGUGCAGGCCGCGGGUUGUGGUGUGGGCAGUUCGGCGGCGGGGAGCCCCGAAUCAGGUAUCUCCAGACUCAGCAUCCCCUUCUGGAUAUGAGGAUGGUUGUCCGCUGCCGGCACGAUCCGGUGGUUGGGCGUAAUGCCCAGAAUCAAGGCUUCAAACAUGGGAGCUCUCGCCAUGUGCAUCUGGCUCGCUCGGCUGGCAAGCUCCGCCCCUAAAACACAUUUCUUUAAUAUACACUCAUCAUACCAUAGAUAGUGUGUCUAUCUAAAAUUAACUAAAACGCAUUAUUGAA